rnacentral:lncRNA from 1 species
AGCAAAUGGGGUUUCUCGUCUCCUUCCCGUAAGUAAGUAUUCCUUUUCUCCCUUUUCGUGUAUUUAAAAAAAUUAAAAAAGAUUCAGGUAAAAUAAAUAGAAAAGAAACUGAAGUUCAAAAAAAACUAUCAACCUUUUGAUUUUUUUUGAUUGAUCUUUGCUCUUUGGUACUUUAUUUGCUAUGAAAAUAAUAACUUUUUUUGUAUUGAUUUUCGAAUCCCCCUAUUACAAUGUAUUCAAAGGCUUUUUAUAGCCAUGAUAAUAAUAAAUCAAAGAAAGAAAGAAAUCUGCUGAUAUCUUUGAUUCGCAAAUCCAUGAUUUUCUUUCCAUAUGCUGUUUGUUUCUUUCUUGAUGCUUGUUUCCUUGCAGGUGAAGAUCAUGGAGAUCCAGAGGACUCGUCUUGCGGCGCUGUUGAAGAUUAGAAACCCUAGGGUUUCAUUAUUUGUCUUGGGCCUCUGUAUUCGGGCCUUUGUUUGUUUUGGUUUGGGCCUUGUGGCCCAUUUGUAAUUCGGGAUUUUAAACCCGGGCAAAAUUGGGUAUUUACUAGAAGUUUAAGACACUUUCAGAUGUUAGGUAUGUACCUAAUUUACGAAAAAAUCUCAUCUCAUUGAGUAUUUUAGACUCAAAAGGUUGUAGAAUCAACCUCGAGUCGAGUGACAUUAAGGUGUCUUAUGGGGCUUUCAUUUUGUUAAAAAGUAAAAGAACCGACAGUCUUUAUAUUCUGAAAGGUUCUACAUUUACUAGUGAAAUCGGACGUCCCUUGUCCGUUACGGAGUUGAAGUCAACUUGUUUGGAGCAGAGCAACUUGGUCAGAAGAGGGAAAAAGGUAUGAUCAUUUGAUUGAAGAAAGGUUCUCUUUUAGAUGCAGGUUUUAAAAAUUUAAGGCACUGUGUUCGUGAAAAUUAUACCCGAGUUGGUUUUGAUUUGGCAGCGUACAAGUUGAAGGCUAGAAA